CAGUAGCCGCGGUAAAACGGAGGGUGCUAGCGUUGUUCGGAAUCACUGGGCGUAAAGGGCGCGUAGGCGGCCUGUUAAGUCGGAUGUGAAAGCCCGGGGCUCAACCCCGGAACUGCAUCCGAGACUGGCAGGCUUGAGACCGGGAGAGGAGGGUGGAAUAUCCAGUGUAGAGGUGAAAUUCGUAGAUAUUGGAUGGAACACCGGUGGCGAAAGCGGCUCUCUGGCCCGGAUCUGACGCUGAGGCGCGAAAGCGUGGGGAGCAAACAGGAUUAGAUACCCCAGUAGUCCCUGUCUCUUAUAA
rnacentral:rRNA from 1 species